rnacentral:rRNA from 1 species
ACUCCUGCGGGAGGCAGCAGUGGGGAAUAUUGGACAAUGGGCGCAAGCCUGAUCCAGCCAUGCCGCGUGAGUGAUGAAGGCCCUAGGGUUGUAAAGCUCUUUCACCGGUGAAGAUAAUGACGGUAACCGGAGAAGAAGCCCCGGCUAACUUCGUGCCAGCAGCCGCGGUAAUACGAAGGGGGCUAGCGUUGUUCGGAUUUACUGGGCGUAAAGCGCACGUAGGCGGACUAUUAAGUCAGGGGUGAAAUCCCGGGGCUCAACCCCGUAACUGCCUUUUAUACUGGUAGUCUUGAGUUCGAGAGAGGUGAGUUGAAUUCCGAGUGUAGAGGUGAAAUUCGUAGAUAUUCGGAGGAACACCAGUGGCGAAGGCGGCUCACUGGCUCGAUACUGACGCUGAGGUGCGAAAGCGUGGGGAGCAAACAGGAUUAGAAACCCGAGUAGUCCCAUGA